CCCUUAGAUGUCCUGGGCUGCACGCGCGCUACACUGAUGCGCUCAACGAGUUUACGAUCUUGCCUGAAAUGGCUGGGUAAUCUUUUUAAAAUGCAUCGUGAUGGGGAUAGAUCAUUGCAAUUUUUGAUCUUGAACGAGGAAUUCCUAGUAAGCGCGAGUCAUCAGCUCGCGUUGAUUACGUCCCUGCCCUUUGUACACACCGCCCGUCGCUACUACCGAUUGAAUGGUUUAGUGAGGACUCCUGAUUGGCGCCGCCGCCCCGGCAACGGAGCAGCGGACUGCCGAAAAGUUGUUCAAACUUGAUCAUUUAGAGGAAGUAAAAGUCGUAACA
rnacentral:rRNA from 1 species